GUCCUAAUCUAGCAGCUGGAGUCAGAAGAAGAGGCGGUGGCCAGUGUGGUGGUGGUGCAUGCCCAGCCACUCAGCAAGGCUGAGCAAGGAUAGUGAGUUCAAAACCAGCCUCAGCAACUUGGUGAGAGCCUGUCUCAAAAAGCAAAAAGGGCUGGGGGUGUGGCUCAGUGGUAGAGCACCCCUGGGCUCAAUCCUGGGUGCCAGAAAAGGAGAAGGAGAAGGAGAGGAAGAGGCGGUAAGGACGCAGACACACAGAGGGACGGCAUGUGAGGUCCCAGGGAGAAGGGUCAGAAGAAACCAGCCCCCAGCAAGGUAGGACACGCUCUGCCCUCCAGAUCUGGGAGGAGCUGACUUCCCUUGUGGAAGGGGCCUGUGGCCUUUCCUGGAGGCCCCGCAGCGGGAGUGAGAAAGAGCCUGUUCAGGGGUUGGACACUUGGGUCAUUUGAGUUGGGUCGAAGCUGGUUCUGGACGGGUGUCAUCAGGAGGCAGUAGGAGGUACUGCCUGCAGGAGGGCAGAGAGGGUGGGCAGAAGCCUGUGCUGGGCAGAUGUGCAGUGUCACCAUCAGCCAGGCCUGGGGCAUAGCGGGGCGCCCAGUGCCAGUGUCCCAGGUCCCAGGGGGUGUCCUCCUGGAGCCUGUCCUGGGGUGUCCUGGUGGUGCACUGUUCUGGGCUCCUGUUCUCCUUACUGGGGAGAGGCCUUCUGCCAGGUACCACACACGUCCUCCCUGUUCACGUGGCCUUCCGACCACUCCUGGUGGCUGGAAGGCCUGCAGAGCUGAGGGGCGUCACUCCAGGCUUGGCCCAGGGACCCUUGUCAGAUGCUCUCUCCAUCGGCCAUCUGCAGGACGCUCCUGAAUGGCCCUCCCUGCAGGGCGCCUGCAGCAGACCCCGGGUGGCCCUCUGGGCUGUCUCCAGGCAGUUUCUGGUGUCACAGGCCACAGUGCCAGAGAGGGCAGCUCAGUCCACGCUCCCCUCCCCUCCCCCGUGCCCCAAACCUCAGGGACACAGUCCUUGUGGCCUGCCGUGCUGAGCCACCAAGAAGUUUUAAAGUACAUCAGGAGAUGUGGCCUUUGAAAAGGUUUGUUACUCACGAGACAAGGGACAGGCCACUCCACACAGGCCAUGGGGAGGCCAGUGGGCAGAGCCCACCAGGGCAGUGGGCGGGAAGGAUUGCUGCUUUCUUCAGGAGGGGACCUGUGGGUCAGGCUUGGGAUCAGCUAGUUAGAAUAGUGUCAGUGGCUCGGCCACAGGCUGUCCAGGUCCACCCCUGUCCUGGGGUGGUAGGCACAGAGGCUCAGGGUGAGAGCCCAGCAGGAGGGCCUGGGCGCGGGCUCCGUGUGUGCUGAUCUGUACAGAAGCCAGUCACAGGCCAGGGGUUUUCGUCUCUAGGAACGAGCUAGUCCCCGGAGGGGUCCCUCUGGGCUGAGAAAAGAACCAAACACUAAAGAGACGUGUGGAGCCCCAAGCCCUUCUGCUGGCCCUGGUCAGGAGGGAGCUGCUCAGUGGGGAGGUGAGGACUUGAAGGCAGGAGCCUGAAGUUCAUUUUCAGGAACAGAAGCAGCAGGGAGCGUGAGGCAACCGGGCCCAGCCCGGAAACUUGGCAGGAAACAGGUGUGCUCCGGCAGGUGAGACCAAAACGGAACUGUCACAUUUACAGCAUGAGAGGCGCGUAGGGAUUGCACCUACCAAGGAAGAGCCGGGAAGCCCUCCAACCCUGCAGUGGCCUCUGGGCAGCGCCCCGGUGCACCUCACCUGGGCCGUGGGAAGAGGAGCAUCCAGGCACCUUGAGCCUUGUUUUCUGUCCUUCUUCUUUCUUGUUCUCAAUUCCUACUGGCUGAAGAGUGUGAGGGAAUCCUUACGUUAUU